GACGAACGCUGGCGGCGUGCUUAACACAUGCAAGUCGAACGGAAAGGCCUGCUUUCCCUUGUGGAUUGCGGGUACUCGAGUGGCGAACGGGUGAGUAACACGUGAGUGAUCUGCCCCCAACUUGGGUAUAAGCCUGGGAAACUGGGUCUAAUUCCCGAUAGGACUGCAGGGUGGUGCCUGUGGUGGAAAACGAUUUUCUAGUGGUUGGGGAUGAGCUCGCGGCCUAUCAGCUUGUUGGUGGGGUAAUGGCCUACCAAGGCGGCGACGGGUAGCCGGCCUGAGAGGGUGGACGGCCACAUUGGGACUGAGAUACGGCCCAGACUCCUACGGGAGGCAGCAGUGGGGAAUAUUGCACAAUGGGCGGAAGCCUGAUGCAGCGACGCCGCGUGGGGGAUGACGGCCUUCGGGUUGUAAACUCCUUUCGACCGCGAGGAAGCCACCUGGUUGGAAGGGUGGUGACGGUAGUGGUAGAAGAAGCACCGGCUAGCUACGUG
rnacentral:rRNA from 1 species